UGAGUAAUACAUCGGGACCUACCCAGACGUGGGGGAUAACGUAGGGAAACUUACGCUAAUACCGCAUACGUCCUACGGGAGUAAGGACGGGAUCUUCGGACCUUGCGCGGUUGGACGGACCGAUGUUCGAUUAGCUUGUUGGUGAGGUAAUGGCUCACCAAGGCGACGAUCGAUAGCUGGUCUGAGAGGAUGAUGAGCCACACUGGGACUGAGACACGGCCCAGACUCCUACGGGAGGCAGCAGUGGGGAAUAUUGGACAAUGGGCGCAAGCCUGAUCCAGCAAUACCGCGUGUCUGAAGAAGGCCUUCGGGUUGUAAAGCACUUUUAUCAGGAACGAAACGCUGUCGGUUAAUACCCGGCGGAACUGACGGUACCUGAGGAAUAAGCACCGGAUAACUUCGUGCCAGCAGCCGCCGUAAUACGAAGGGUGCAAGCGUUAAUCGGAAUUACUGGGCGUAAAGCGUGCGUAGGCGGUUUGUUAAGUCUGUUGAGAAAUCCCCGGCCUCAACCUUGGAAUGGCAAUGGAUACUGGCAAGCUAGAGUGUGAUAGAGGAUGGUGGAAUUCCCGGUGUAGCGGUGAAAUGCGUAGAGAUCGGGAGGAACAUCAGUGGCGAAGGCGGCCAUCUGGAUCAACACUGACGCUGAGGCACGAAAACGUGGGGAGCAAACAGGAUUAGAUACCCUGGUAGUCCACGGCCUAAACGAUGCGAACUGGAUGUUGUUCUCAACUCGGAGAUCAGUGUCGAAGCUAACGCGUUAAGUUCGCCGCCUGGGGAGUACGGUCGCAAGACUGAACUCAAGGAAUUGACGGGGGCCCGCACAGCGGUGGAGUAUGUGGUUUAAUUCGAUGCAACGCGAAGAACCUUACCUGGCCUUGACAUGUCUGGAAUCCUGUAGAGAUACGGGAGUGCCUUCGGGAAUCAGAACACAGGUGCUGCAUCGCUGUCGUCAUCUCGUGUCGUGUGAUGUUGGGUUAAGUCCCGCAACGAGCGCAACCCUUGUCCUUAGUUGCCAGCACGUAAUGGUGGGAACUCUAAGGAGACUGCCGGUGACAAACCGGAGGUAGGUGGGGAAGACGUCAAGUCAUCAUGGCCCUUACGGCGAGGGCUACACACGUACUACAAUGGUCGGUACUGAGGGUUGCAAUACCGCGAGGUGGAGCCAAUCCCACAAAGCCGAUCCCAGUCCGGAUGGAAGUCUGCAACUCGACUUCGUGAAGUCGGAAUCGCUAGUAAUCGCGGA
rnacentral:rRNA from 1 species